AAGAAAGUGGCAGAGUGGUUAUGUUGCUGGCUUGAAACCAGCAUACGGGGGUUCAAUUCCCUCCUUUCUCG
rnacentral:tRNA from 1 species